CAGAUGGUCUUACAAACGGACGAAAGUCCCACCGACCCGUGAAUAUUGGCAACGGUCGUUGAGGACCCUCAUCCGGUCGCACGAAACCAUUAAUAUUUGAAAUUUUCACACUGAACAGAAAAAAUGAAAUAAAAUCAGAUAAACAGCUCGAACCGAUUCCGGCUUGUGCUCCACAUAACGUAUUCAACCAGAUGCGCUGAAUUUCGGCCAUGCCUACAUUUACAAUGCAAGUAUGUUGGUGCAGAUGAUAUAUACGUGACGGUGGCAUGCAUCCGUCCAUUACUUGUGAUAUUGAAAUACGAAAGCUUCGAGCGUUUUCUUAUCAAAUCGCAAUUAGGUGUCACAACGAACGAACUUUCAUAGUGCCGCAAACUACUGCAAUCCAAAAAGGAAUUCUGUUCAACUUUAAACGCCAGCUCACCUGCAGAUUUGUGAUUUAUGACCCUCGAGGAGCGUUGAUGCUACGACGACUGCCCAGUUGUCUAGAAGGUGGUUGAAAAUAUUAAAAUAAGAGUUGUGGAGAAUAAGUUAAUGCUGAAAACUAAUGGUCAAAGUAGAAAGUAUAUAUA